CCUCUCAUAGUUUAAUGGAUAAAACAAGCCCCUCCUAAGGGCUAGAUCUCGGUUCGAUUCCAAGUGAGAGGACAA
rnacentral:tRNA from 2 species